AAGCAUAAAUGUAUCAUAAAAUUAACAAGCAAAAAAUUAACAAGCAAAAAAUUAAACAAGCAAAAAAUUACAAAAAAUCUAAGAAAUUUGAAAUCGUGGAGUGGGAAAUUCGACGGUGGAUGGCGGCGAACCUUUUGAUGGCGGUGGACGUUGGAUGAACAGGGCAGUGAACGGCCGAGAGGUUGGACCGAAGUUCCGAUUUCAGUGAGCCCGUGGAUAUUGAUGCUGAGAAUAAGCUUCGUUGUCGACGGUCGAUGGCAGCGAACCGUUGAUGGCGGCGAACCGUUGAUGGCAGCGGACGAUGGAUGCACUUGGCAGUGAACGAGCAGUGAACGAGGGAAAGGUUGGAGGCAACUUCAGAUUUUCAGUGAUUUUGAUUUUAAGGAAUUAGGGAUUUCAUUUAAGACUGGAAUUUUGGCUCCAAAAUUUUCACUCACGGAUUACUGACGGAUAGCUUCAUCCGUUAGUAGUCCGUUAGAGUGAUUCCGUUAGUAUUACUUACGGAAUCACAAACCGUUGGUGAAUCCGUUAGAAUCAUUAAUGGAUUUCAAAUCGUUGGUGAAUUCGUUAGUAUCAUUAACGGAUUUCAAACCGUUGGUGAAUCCGUUAGUGAUACUAACGGAUUUACCAUCAGUUAGUGAAAUUGUGAAUUCUUGUAGUGAAAGAUGAGGCUCUACAGAAGUGUAUGUCAAAUCUCACCGUUAUAAUAUCUUGGUUACGUGGUCCACGCACCAAUUAAAUAUACAUGUUCUUUAUAGACUGGGAAUUGCAUAUAUAAUUGCCACAAUCUGUUGUUUACAUCCCAUUCUUCUCAAGUGCAAGAUUAAGAUAAAUGGAAAGGCUAGAGGCAAGAGAUCCAGAGGGAAUGCUCAGAGGUCAAGCUACAAUACUGCAAUGCAUUUUUGGCUUCAUGGAUAGCGUGGCACUCAAGUGUGUAGUUGAGCUAGACAUUCCUGAUAUAAUAAACUCCCAUGGUUGUCCCCUCUCCUUGUCUUCCAUUGCUAAAAGCAUCAACCACCCUUCUCUGGACAUUGAUCGCCUCUCACGGAUUAUGGCAUUGUUAGCUCACAGAGGAAUCUUCACAUCAAGUCAUCCAGAAGGGAAACACAACACUACUACUCUCUAUGGCCUCACGAACUCCUCCAAAUUUCUACUCCGCAAUUCCAAGACAAGUCUUGCACCCUUAUUGAUGUUGCAAUACCAUGAAGGGACUGUACCAAAUUGGCAUCACCUUAGUAAUAUUGUAAAGGAAGGUGGGAAUGGGUUUGCUAGGUCUAAUGGUUUAGAGCUUUGGGAUUUUGCAUCAUCUAAUCCUGAGUUCAACACCUUAUUUAAUAAGGCUAUGGAUGGGAUAUCAAGCAUCACAAUGGAAGCAAUGAAGACUAGCUAUAAAGAUGGGUUCAAGGAAAUAGGAUCGCUUGUUGAUGUUGGAGGCGGAUCUGGUGCAAUGGUGGGUGAGAUUGUGAAGGCACAUCCACAUAUAAAAGGUAUCAAUUUCGAUCUUCCACAUGUGGUGGCUACGGCACCAGAGUAUGAGGGCGUCACACAUGUUGUUGGCGAUAUGUUUGAAAGCAUUCCUGCAGCUGAUGCAAUUCUUAUGAAGGUAAUAGAAUCUUAAUAAUAUAUUAGAAAACCUAAAAUUUAAACGACUCAUCUUCUACUUGAAUAUAAGUAUUACAAAUAAUAUUAUUGUUAUUGAAAUGUAGUGGAUAUUGCAUACGUGGGAUGACGAAAAUUGCAUCAAAGUCUUGAAAAAGUGUAGACAAGCAUUGCCUGAGAAAACUGGAAAGCUUAUAAUCAUGGAAGCAGUUUUAAAUCCGCAGGGAUUCGACUUGUUCAAUCAUACAAGAUUGAUAUUUGAUCUAGUGAUGAUGGUUCAUGUCGAAGGAAAAGAAAGGAGUGAAGUAGAAUGGAAAAGGCUGUUGGAGGAAGGAGGUUUUGGAAGCUACAAAAUUAUAAAAAUUCCAGCAAUGAUAUCAAUAAUUGAGGCUUAUCCCUGAUAUGCUCUCUCCUUGGAUUGUGUAGCUAGAAAUAUUACCAUUUAUUUUUCUAUUUAUGGUGUGCUUUUCAUCUUUGUUAUCUUAUUACUCUGUGCUUUCUAUAUAAUCUUUGGUGAAUGAACGCAGCACCCUUAUCUCGAAUGAAUUAGUCAGAUCGAUGGAGGACAUUUAUUACUUGCGUUGCGACAAGGAAAUAAGUUUUUAUUUUCCAAACUGAUCAGGUAUUGUACUCCAUUAGUUCACUGUACACCCACAAGCCCCACUACCCAUUAAAUGUGUUUUAAAUCAAUCUGACUAAAUUUUCUUUGCCUUUUUCUUCAAAAAGGAAAUUUUCUCCAAAUAAUUACUAUCUAAAAACCUCCUACCAUGAUAAGGAGAGGUUAUCUAACUUCUAAAGAGACUUUCAAUUUAACUUUUUAUCAGUGAGUAAGAACAUGGAACUGAUGAGCCUCAUGAGGCAGCCAUACUGAUAAUAAUUUCAAGAAAGGUGCUAGAUACUUAUACUAAAAUUACUCCACAAAGUAGUAAACAAAUGUAGCAAUAUAUUUAAAUUCUUGGAUAUGAUUGUAUGGUAAAUCUUUUUAAAGAGAGACUCCAUUCUCCCUCAAAAAAUUAUUAAAAAUAAGUUUUGGAAAUGAGAAAUUAAAAAUAAUUAAUUACUACACAAAAAAAAUAUUAUGAUCUGUCCAAAUAUUCUAUUUCUAUGAACAUUAUAAGUUUUUCAUCUCUUACAAAAAGAUUAUGAUGUACUAUUAUUAUGAUAUGCUUAUUAAUGAAUUGUUAAAUUUUUUUAAAUAAUAAUAUAAAGCACAUUUACCUUUAAAAAAAAAUACAAAGCACAUUUAAGGAUAAUAAAAGUUUUUAUUAAAUUAAUACUGACCUAUUCAUAGAUUUAUUUUAGUGGUAGGUGCAUUUGAGUCAGGUUUUACUCUUUCAAUUUUUAAUUACCGUUUUAAAAAAAAAAAUACUGAAAUAAUCAAUCUUAUAAAAAAAAAAAAUACUGAAAUAAUCAGUGUGUGUCUCAUCAUGCGAGAAGUUUAAAAUUUUAAAGUAUUAGUAAGAAAAUUUGCAACUUUAACAAUAAUUUAGUUAGCAAUAUACUGUCUUUAACAAUAGUAGGAAUAAACCGUGGAUAUUUAAUUUUAAUGAUAAUAAAAUAAAAUACCAUAUACAAAUUUUGGAAAUGCCCCCAAGUUAAAUAUUUAACAUUUAACUUUAAUUAAACUCUUUUUUUUUAUAAAAUAAACUAUAUAUAAUUAUUAAUAUUUAAAUUUUAUAAAAUAUAACUAUUAAAUCUUAAAAAGUUAUAGCGGAUAUAACUCACAUUCAAAUGUAAAAGAUUAAAUAAUUAUGUUUUAUAAAAGUUAAUUACUUGAUAAUUGAUUGUUUUAUAAGAAUAAGACACUAAAUAAUGCAUUUAGUUAAAAUAAAACUAAUGGUUGUCGGCUGAAAUCAAUAUCUGCUUCUUAGAAGAAAUUUACCAUAUUGUAUAAUAAUUUUAUUAUAAAUAUUAAUUAUAAUAAAUUUUACUUUUACUAUUGUGAAUAUUCAGCCUUCCAAUGAUAUGUAAUAAUUUGUUUUUUGUUUAUAAAGUCAAGCUUACUUUUAAAUUUAUAUAUAUAUAUAUUUUUUUUUUUUUUUCUGUUGUAAAAUAGGCUUUAAUAAAAUUAGAUAAAUUCGUUUUAUCUAGGUAAUAACCAAGUUGCUCAACUUGAUACGCAAUUAAUUAAGGAGGUGACAUUUGGCCCUACCUAAUGACUUUUUAUCAUCUCCUGACACGACGCUGCCAGUCGUGUCACUUUUUCUGGAAAAUCAGUACAACCAUUGCAUGCAUUAUUGUGGGUAUUCACCCACUCGUGUAAUUAUAGUUUUUAUUUAAAUUAUUAAAGUACUCUGGGCAGUUUAUAUGUGAAAUGUUUUUUUUUUUUUUUUUAUUCAUAAGAGAGUACAUACACCAAGGUAAUUGGUAAUUUCUCUUACUCCGUAAAAAUUUAUAAGUUUUAACUGGAGUAAUAUAGUCUUCAAUUACACCACAUUCUUGUGAAUUGCAAGAUUAAGGAAGAGGGAAAUGGAAAGACUAGAAGUAGGAGAUCCCGAUGAAAUGGUCAGAGGUGAAGCCACAUUAUGGCAGUGCAUUUUUGGCUACGUUGAUGGCAUGGCACUCAAGUGUGUAGUUGAGCUAGGCAUUCCUGAUAUAAUAAACUCCCAUGGGUGUCCCCUUUCCUUGUUUUACAUUGCUAAAAGCAUCAACCACCCUUCCUUGGAUACCGAUCGCCUCUCACGAGUCAUGACACUGUUAGUUCAUAGAGGAAUCUUCACAUCAAGCUCAGAAGGGAAACACAACGCUACUACUCUCUAUGGCCUCACGAACUCCUCCAAAUUCCUACUUCGCGAUUCCAAGAGGAGUCUUGCACCCUUGUUGAUGUUGGAGAACCAUACAUGGAUGAUACAACCUUGGCAUCAACUUAGUGAUAUUAUAAAGGAAGGUGGGAAUGGGUUCUCUAGAUCUCAUGGUUUGGAGUUAUGGGAUUUUGCAUCAGUAAAUCCUGAAUUCAACAUCUUAUUUAACGGGGCUAUGAGUGGGGCAUCCAACAUCAUGGUGGAAGCAAUGAAGACUAGCUAUAAAGAUGGGUUGAAUGGGGUAGGAUCCCUUGUGGAUGUUGGGGGUGGGUCUGGUGCUAUGGUGGGGGAGAUUGUGAAGGCACAUCCACAUAUAAAAGGUAUCAACUUCGAUCUUCCACAUGUGGUGGCUAUGGCACCACAGUAUGAGGGUGUCACACAUAUUGCCGGUGAUAUGUUUGAAAGCAUUCCUGCCGCUGAUGUCAUUCUUAUGAAGGUAAUUAUAGAGUCUUUUAUAUACUGUGUUAGAUUGUUAUUUGCUAUUAGAAAUCGUACUUCUACUGGAACAUCAUUAUUGUAAUUAAUAUUGUUAUUUUCGAAAUAUAGUGGAUCCUACAUGUUUGGAAUGACGAAAAUUGCAUCAAAAUUUUAAAAAAGUGUCGAGAAGCAUUGCCUAAAAAGAUUGGAAAGCUUAUAAUCAUGGAAGCAGUCUUAAAUCCAGAAGAACAGGACUUGUUCGAGCAUACAAAAUUAAUGUUUGAUAUGUUGAUGAUGGUUGAGGUUCAAGGAAAAGAAAGGAGUGAAGCAGAAUGGAAAAGGUUGCUGGAGGAAGGAGGUUUUGGUAGCUACAAGAUUAUCAAAGUUCCAACACUGUUAUCAAUCAUUGAGGCUUAUCCUUGACAGGUUACGACACUCUCCUUGGGUCGUGUGGCUAGAAAUAUGAGGUGCCUAUUAAUUAUGAUGUGCUUUUCUAUCUUUUGUAAAAAAUGCAGCUUCUUUCUAUAUUUGGUGACAAUUUGGGGAAUGAGUGUAGCUUAAUAGUUCCACCCCUAUCUCCAAAUAAUACCAUGUAUGCCUUUACUACAAUGUAAUAUAAUAAAAUGCCUCAGGAAACCUAGCCUAGUUUCAUUAUACUAGUUUAUAUAUAUUAAAAAAAAAGUACUUAUUUAUUUUCCAAAUGCGUGAAAGAAUUGCCUUAUAUGUAGCAGUCUCUCAAUUAACAUGUGAAUAACAAUUUUUUAAUUUAAAUAAAUAAAAUAUAUUGUUAAUGUGUUUUGAUAAAAUGUAUGAACUAUUUUUUAUAGGAUCACAACUCAAUAUAUUUCAUUGGCACCACCAAGCUCAACUCCCUCCCUAUUUUGACAGUACCUCAAUUGAACAUUGAGCACAAAACAAAUUUAGCAAAAAUUCUUUUCACAACGAAACAACAUGUAAUAUGUCACACAAGAUUACUAUUUUUUUUUUUUUUCAUUUGGCUCGGUUUAUAAAUCAGAACUUAAACUCUCUUAUAUAUAUUCAUAAUAGAAAAUUUUAUAAAACUCUAAAAAAGUUAAUCUGUUUUUAAAACAUUAUAGAAGUAAAACUUGAUUAAUAAGAAAUCAGAUUCUAGUUUUUAUAAUUGAACUUCCCAUAUUAAAAUUUUCAUGUCAAGAACUAAAUUUUCAAAAAAAUUUUUAAAUGAACCUAAUUUACUAUAAAUUCAAAAGAUAUUAAAGUGGGUUCUAUUUAUUUUUUUUUUAUAAUAAGACCUACUUAUUUAUAUUUUAAAAAUUUCUUGAUCCAUAAUGGAUCGGGUUUAUAUAAAUAUUUCUCAAAUUUUCAUAUUAAAAUUUUCUUUUUAUAUAAUUUAAAUUUAAAUUAAAUUUAUUUUUUUUAUAAAAGUAUAUAUGUUUUAAUUUUUUGACAAUUCACACCUGCAGGUACAAGUUAAUGACAAGAUUAGAGUAGAAGUUAAAAUCAGACCCCUUGAGUUUAUAUUAUCACUUAUUAUAUAUACCAUAUUUGAUCAAUAUGAUGAUUUAGUACUUUAGAAUUAUUCAACAAUUAUAUGUGCAGGCCGAAGUGCUAAGGAAGGAGGUGGCACUUGGCCCUAUCCAAUUCCAAUGGCAAGGAAGGGAGAGAUUUUAUCAUGAAACUGUGAUUCCAAAUGGGUUGUUCUAUAUAUGAUGACAAUUUAAUACAACUUUGUUAAAAUAUGCCCUAAAAUUAGGGAAAAAAAUAUCAAAGAUUUAUUUUUUCAUGUAAUUUUCUUAAGGAAAGAUUUUUUGUCUCUAGAUAGUUGAUACGAUGUCGGCCACCUUUCCUCAUAUGAAAGCCGUGCCCUUUGAUAAUUAGUCGUUGGCCGGAUAAAACGUUACCUUAUUACAGCAUUUUGUUUCUUUUAUUGUAUAUCACCUUCACAUUUUCAUAGAUUUGCCUUUUUCUAUUAAACCCAUCUAGUCUAGUCUUUCUUUUUAUCAAUCUAUUUUAGCUGUCUAUUUAACGUAUCUAAAUUUAACAAAUAAAACAUUCACAAUAACUAAAAAAAAAUAAUACACUUCAAAAAUAAAAUACAAUAAAAUUAAUAAACCUAAAAAAAAUGAAACUUCAAUCUACUUCUGCCGAAUUCUGCAACUUUAAAAUUAUUCUUGUGCGGCAUAAACAUCUCCAAUCGAGAGACUGCUAGAUAUAUACAGGUGAUAAUGGCACUGUAAUUCAAAUAAAUUAAUAUCUGAAUUGAUAUUUAUAAUGGAAUUUAGCUGAUAUGUCAUCGAGUAUGAGUGAAAUUAGGCUUAUAUUAGAUUGUACAAUUUCAAAAUAAAGGGUGGGCCUACUAGGCUGCACUCAUUCACCAAAUUGUUUACUAAAGAUAGAAAAGGACACUCAUAAUAAAGAGACCACUAUUUCUAGCCACACAAUCGAAGGAGACCGGUGUGCGUCAAAUCCAAAAAAAAUAAACACUAUUGAUGAUCUGAGAUCCAAUAGAAUAGGGUUUUACAAGGGUUUUGGUAUUGAAAUAUAAAACUUAAACUUUCUGGGGAGGGGGUUCCCCUUUUAUCCAUUUCGCUAUGCUUGCUGGUGACGUGUAAAAGCCUCUCCAUGAUUGGGACACGCGUCUCUGACAUACAGAUUCGGGCGUACGAGGGUAUCAGCAGCCUGCUCCAUGCGUAACGGCCUCUGAUUCUCCUCGUGCGUACGCUCGAGCGGAUCUGCUAGGCUGUCUUAGUAUGCUCUGGAUACUGGGCUGGGCCGAGAGUCUGGCCGGACGCUGAGCCUGAGAGGAGAGGGCCUGCUGGUCGCGGACUGGGCCGAUCUGAGUGAAGAAGCUUGGUUGGGCCCGGCCUUGAAGGUUGAAUGAGCCAGGCUUGUUGUGCAUAUCAGGUACGUGGGCCUCUGCGUUAUGGACCUUGGGCUGUGGUCAAGCCCCUGAUCCGGGGUAAAGAAAUCCAGCGGUCAUCAAUUGCCCCUUCACCUUCUCGGUAGACGCUCUUUAACUUCUAUUCUAAUAGACUGAAUAUCUUUCAUAAGGAAUCGUAGUAAGAUGCGACGAUUUUUUCCAGGAAAUCCCCAGCGAAAAAUACACACUAUUCCUUCUUUUCUAUCGAAUCGAUCAUAACCACUACCUAUAUUCCAUAAAAUUGUGCACCACAAAUAAGAACUAAUAAAUAGACCGGCGAUCCCAUAGAAAGACAUCACGAUCCCUUGUGGGAAAAAAAUUAUUUGCUGAGACGGAAAUAAAGAUAUCAAAUUUCUGCCUAUUGCUCCCACUGCCGAGGGGGUGAAUAUCAAGAACCAUUAUGACCGCGCCUGUUCGUGUUCAGGUGCCUUAAUAACAUCCUUUCAUCUUUCUGUCGUUGUGCAGUUUUCGAAUCCUAUCUGCUCUUUCCCCUUUCUGGCUUUUCUCCAUUCUUCGUGUUCUUUGCUGUCUUUGCUUUCCUGUCAUCAUUAUCUGGACAUGUCCUUUCUUUCCUUUUCCAUGACUAUCUUUUAAAAUUCUGACACCGUUAGC
rnacentral:lncRNA from 1 species